AACGAACGCUGGCGGCAGGCUUAACACAUGCAAGUCGAACGGGCGUAGCAAUACGUCAGUGGCAGACGGGUGAGUAACACGUGGGAAUAUCCCUUUCAGCUCGGAAUAACUCAGGGAAACUUGAGCUAAUACCGGAUACGUCCUUCGGGAGAAAGAUUUAUCGCUGAGAGAUUAGCCCGCGUCUGAUUAGCUAGUUGGUGAGGUAAUGGCUCACCAAGGCGACGAUCAGUAGCUGGUCUGAGAGGACGAUCAGCCACACUGGGACUGAGACACGGCCCAGACUCCUACGGGAGGCAGCAGUGGGGAAUAUUGGACAAUGGGGGAAACCCUGAUCCAGCCAUGCCGCGUGAGUGAUGAAGGCCUUAGGGUUGUAAAGCUCUUUUGCCAGGGAAGAUAAUGACUGUACCUGGAGAAUAAGCCCCGGCUAACUUCGUGCCAGCAGCCGCAGUAA
rnacentral:rRNA from 1 species